UUUGCACUUACAUUUGAUGGGAACAAAUGGGGUCAUAAUGGUCCUUAUUUGGUUUCAAGGGUUGUGUCAAGGGUAAGUGGAAGAGAUGGAUACAAUUUCACUGUUUUGCCCCCAAUGGCUUUUUAUCCAGUUGAUUGGAAUAGGAUUGGUAGUCUAUUUCUUGGGCCGAGGAACGAGACUCAGUCGAAAUGGUUGCUCUUGAAACUCCAGCAAAUUCAGAGUGGAAGUUUGGCAGUGCAUCUUUGGAACAAGCAAAGUAGAGAACUUGAGGUUGAAGAAGGAAGCAUAAUUCAACAUAUAAUGUCAGAUUGUUGUGUUUUCUGCAAUUCUUACUCAUCAAAGUUGUAAGUAUACACCACGUAAAAUCAGCGUCAGCGUGUUUUAUUCUUCAUUAAUUGUUGUAGGAUAAUGGACCACCUAAGCUCAUUACAUAGGUUGUCUUGAAGAAAUUAGGUGGUACAGAAAUAAUGCAGGAUCCAUGUAUUCUACUUCAUUGUCG
rnacentral:misc_RNA from 1 species